rnacentral:rRNA from 1 species
AACGAACGCUGGCGGCAUGCCUAACACAUGCAAGUCGAACGGACCCUUCGGGCUUAGCGGCUGGCUUGUGAGUAACGCGUUGGAAUAUGCCCUUCUCUACUGCAUUUUCCUGUGAAAUUGGGGUUAAUACCUUAUACUCCCUCUGGGGGUAAGCUUUAUCGGGGUAGGAUUGGGCCGCGUUGGAUUUGGUAGUUGGUUGGGUAAUGGCCUACCAAGCUGACGAUGCAUAGCUGGGUUGAGAGGAGGAUCAGCCACAAUGGGACUGAGACACGGACCAGACUCGGAGGGAAGGGAGCAGAGGGGAAUAUUAGACAAUGGGGGCAAAUCUGAUGUAGCCAUGCGGGGUAAGAGAGGAAGGGGUUAGGAUUGUAAAGUCAGUUGAGAAGGGAAGAAAAUGACGGUACCAGCAGAAGAAGCACCGGCUAACUACGUG